rnacentral:rRNA from 1 species
UUGACCUCAAAUCAGGUAGGACUACCCGCUGAACUUAAGCAUAUCAAUAAGCGGAGGAAAAGAAACUAACAAGGAUUCCCUUAGUAACUGCGAGUGAAGAGGGAAAAGCUCAAAUUUAAAAUCUGGCAGCUUAGCUGUCCGAGUUGUAAUUUAGAGAAGUGUUACCCGCGCUGGACCAUGUACAAGUCUCCUGGAAUGGAGCGUCAUAGAGGGUGAGAAUCCCGUCUCUGACAUGGGCUACCAGGGCAAUUGUGGUGCGCUCUCGAAGAGUCGAGUUGUUUGGGAAUGCAGCUCUAAAUGGGUGGUAAAUUCCAUCUAAAGCUAAAUAUUGGCGAGAGACCGAUAGCGAACAAGUACCGUGAGGGAAAGAUGAAAAGAACUUUGGAAAGAGAGUUAAACAGUACGUGAAAUUGCUGAAAGGGAAACGCUUGAAGUCAGUCGCGUUGGCCGGGGAUCAGCCUUGCUUUUAUUGGUGAGGUGUACUUCCUGGUUGACGGGUCAGCAUCAGUUUCGACCAUUGGAAAAAGGCUAGGGGAAUGUGGCACCUUCGGGUGUGUUAUAGCCCCUUGUUGUAUACAGUGGUUGGGACUGAGGAACUCAGCACGCCGAAAGGCCGGGUUU